AGAUGAAUUAGACUAUAUGCUUAUACUGCGCCCUGAGCAUAUUUGGACGCCAUGGAGAGUGAGCGGAAACAGAAGAGCAAGUGCCAGCUUGAUCAAGAAACAUAAAUUGGAGCAGGAAGGGAGGGAAAUUGGGUGAGCAGAGUAAGGGAAAAAAGACGGGAGAGAGAUGUGCAAACCGGUCCACACAAAUCGGUUGACAAAGAGAGAGAGAGGAGCUCUCUCCUCUCAGGAAGUAUCCAACUUGCUCCCCCGCCAAAUCCACACUAGCAUCCUUCCUCCGCUAGCUUCCUCCGCUUCUUCUCUGGCGCAACCCUCUCCUAGAAAGGUAGCAAGAUGUGCAGCCGCAGCUUGGAAUGUUGCAUUUGGGUGGCGGAAGAUUCCUAUAAGCAGUGUCAACGACCAACACUGGUGCAUUAUAAUUCAGUGGUUAAUCCUAGGUUAUGAGAAGUGAUUAUCUUUGUGCCUCCAUGGUGAGCAGCACCGGCUGCAUCUGGCCGCCAGCGCAUCUUUGGAAAUUUAGAAUGAUAAAAGGAAUUGGUCAAACUACAGAAAUUGUGACCCUGAUGA